AGAGUCAUGGAGGUAGUUGCGAACUAAACUUUUCCUGUGAGGUUUAAGAUUUAGUUUGAGGAAAGUCCGGACUCCCGAAAGACCAAACCUGCUGGGUAACGCCCAGUGCGCGCGAGCGUGAGGAUAGUGCCACAGAAAAAUACCGCCUCCGAUUAGAGGUAAGGGUGCAAAGGUGAGGGUAAGAGCCCACCAGCAGUAUCGAGAGGUACUGGCUCGGUAAACCCCGGUUGGGAGCAAGGUCGAAGGAAUUAUGGUUGGUCUUUUCCCGAUUCCGCUUUUGGUGUACCGCUUGAGGUGAUUAGUAAUAUUCAUCCCAGAUAGAUAACUACCCCUUUAAUUUAUUUAAAGGAACAGAAUCCGGCUUAUGAGUGACUCUUCUU
rfam:Cyanobacterium aponinum PCC 10605, complete genome.